rnacentral:rRNA from 1 species
GAGAAACUCCCGGGCAAGGUGACCUUCGUCUCGGCGCAGGAGCAUACAGGCCCGGUGAGCGUCGGCCCGUCGGUGGACCGAGGAAGACCGUCGCGGAGCGGCGUCGACCGUUCGUCGUGUGUUGGCGUUCGACUCGGGGGGACUGGUUCCAGUGCCCUCGGACCGCGCCGGCGCAGCGGCGGGCGCGCACGGCGUCGCGCCUGGGGUCGGUGGCGAAACGGCCGGCAACCUGUCCGACCCGUCUUGAAACACGGACCAAGGAGUCUAACAUGUGCGCGAGUCGUUGGGCGCUACGAAACCCGAAGGCGCAAUGAAAGUGAAGGCCCGGUCUCCGGCCGGCCUGGGUGGGAUCCCGGCGGUCUCGGCCGUCGGGCGCACCACCGGCCCGUCUCGUUCGUUACGUCGAGGAGGCGGAGCAAGAGCGUACACGUUGGGACCCGAAAGAUGGUGAACUAUGCCCGAGUAGGACGAAGCCAGAGGAAACUCUGGUGGAGGUCCGCAGCGAUUCUGACGUGCAAAUCGAUCGUCAAACUUGGGUAUAGGGGCGAAAGACUAAUCGAACCAUCUAGUAGCUGGUUCCUGUCGAAGUUUCCCUCAGGAUAGCUGGCGCUCGUCGUGAGCAGUUUUAUCCGGUAAAGCGAAUGACUGGAGGCCUUGGG